rnacentral:rRNA from 1 species
UACAGAGGGUGCGAGCGUUAAUCGGAAUUACUGGGCGUAAAGCGUGCGUAGACGGUUAUUAAGUCGGGUGUGAAAGCCCCGGGCUCAACCUGGGAAUUGCAUUCGAGACUGAUAGCUAGGGUACGGUAGAGGGAAGCGGAAUUUCCGGUGUAGCGGUGAAAUGCGUAGAUAUCGGAAGGAACAUCAGUGGCGAAAGCGACUUCCUGGACCAGUACCGACGUUCAGGCACGAAAGCGUGGGGAGCGAACAGGA